GGCCAGGGUGCUUUGCAGCAGGGUAAACUGAGGGAGAAGGAGGCUCACAUCUUUCUGCACCAUCUCCUCUUCUGCUAUCUGCUCCUCUGGGCUCAAGAACAUGUUACUGCUGACCGCCCUCUGCUACCGAAAGUGGAUCUGACAUGACUGAGCUUCCCUCCCUCUCUGCUGGCUCUAUGUGGGUCUCUCGGGGUUGGGACACUGUAAGGAUGGAGGAUGCUAGGCACGGCCUGCAGGCAGGGACUUGGACGUUUACACACAACGCUUCCUCGCCUCUCCAUGACGACCCCAGACGCGGGCACUGUCGCUCCCCCCCAUCUUACAGGUGAGCACACUGAGGCUCAGCGCGUGUGAGUACCUUCCCCGAGUCACACAGCAAGUUCAUGGACAGGCAGGAAUUCAAACCCAGGCUUGGCUGACCUUAAAGCCAGGGCAUUCACUGCACUGACUCAGCAUUCACAGAAGCUUCUGGACGCAGGGCUUUGUCCUCCCCCUCCUGCACACUGCUGCCCAAGAACAGUGUUUAUAACCCUCCCCUGCUCAGCAACCUUCCAUGGCUCCCCAGCACCCACAGGAAAAAAAUAAACCAAACCCUUUGCAGAGCCCUCCCCACCCCUGACUCCUGACAUCAGCCCUGGAACCCACUGACUCUUCACCAGAGCCAAGCAAAGGGCUCCUUGAGAGCCUGGACUGCACACUGUCUCCUCCAACAGGCCGGCCUACACCCACCGCAGGGCCUUUGUGCAGUGCCCUUCUCUGCCCACCUGCCACCUCCUGGCCCCCCCGCGGCAGCACCCCCAUCACGCCCUCUCGUGUGCGGAUCUCUCCGCCGCUCCUCACUGCCCAGCAUGAUCCUUUCUUUGUGCUGAGCUCUGUUUAAUGUGUGAGGCCUCUGACUAGCCGGUGUGCCUUCGAGGGCAGGGCCACGCCUGUCCUGUUUACAGCUGCGCCCCCGUGCCAGCAUGUGGCCAGGGUUUGGGGACUGCUGAGUGAAGAAGUGUGUGAAUGAGUUCGCAUCUCCCGGGGCUCAGGCAGGGCCAACACAGAUCCCGAGUCCUGGCUGGCCUGAAAGGAACCUCCCCUGGGCCCAACCACCCCCAUUCUGGCCCCAGCCUCUCAGAUCCCGUGCGCUACCCUCCCAGACCUGCCCCAACCGUGUAGACUUCCCCAACCAUGCCCAUACACUCGUGUUCCCCGCCCCCAACCCAGCCAACUCCUGCACAUCCCUCAAGAGCCCCUGCAAGUACUGCGUCCUUUGCUGGGCAGAGCCGAUCACACCCCCUCUGACACCCUGUGGCGUGGACACACCCACUGUGAGGUCCACACGGGCUUGCCUUCACGGACCGCGGCGCCCGCACCCAGCAGGUGCUUGCCACGCCACAAGAGAGCCACCUCCUCUGCGUUCCUUCCCGGCGUGCAGGCCUCCCCGACGGGACUGGAGCGCUGAUGGCAGGGGCUGUUUUACUCACUGAUCACUCACUCUGCAAAGCCAGCUGCUCAGCAGAGAGCCCCCCGUGGCAAGGCACUGAGCCCUCUUGCCACCAGCGAGCACUGGACCGAGGCCUCCAGCCACCGGUGUGAGGGAGCCAUCUUGGCAGCUGGUCCUCCAGCCUCAGUGGAGCCUUCGGCUGAGACCACAGCCCCAGGCACCUCCCUGAUUACAGUCUCAAUGGAGACCUGGAGCCAGAAUCACCCAGCCGAGCCACUCCCCACAGAGACUGUGAGACAAGAACUCUUUGUUGUUUGAAGCUGCAACAUUCUGGGGUGUUUUGUUACACCGCGUGCGAGAGAUAACUCACAUAGCCAGUGAGAGAGAGGCAUGUGAGAUGGCAAUUCCAAACCGAGACCUUCUUUCAAGUAGUCGGGAGGAUGAAAACGCAACUGGAAGGAGAGAGAAGAAGAAAUGUCACUGUAAGCACGGAGCCCGGGGGUGAAUCCGGUGAAUCUGGUGAGUCCACCGGCCGGGAAGGCGCGCUGAGCCGGAGGGGCCGCCCCCAGGAAGGAGACCAGUGAGACAGAAAAUAAAUAAACAAAAGCUUCCCAACUUCGGACAGAGGGUUUGCAACGCGGACGGUCCUCCGUCGGCAGGCCACGCGGCGAGCCUCAGAUGUAUUUGUAAUUGGGCCACGGUUUUCGGCUUCCCGGCUACAUGUGUGUUUGAGGAGGUGCUCGACUUGGUCACAACGUCCAAGCUGCCUGAUCUGACAGCCGUUGGCGCAUGGCUACUGGAAGGGGGAGCCAGCUGUUUGGAAAAAUAGGUCUAACUGCCGCCCCCCCCCCCCCCCCCGGCCAACCAGCAACGUCUUUCCCGGAUCUAAAGCUGCCCGUGGGCCAGUUUCAACCACUGAGGGUGUCCUGGAGAGCGUCGAACCCCCCAUCGUGCGCCUCCAGCUCCACCUGUGGUCCUGCCAGCCACUUGGCCAAUUCACUGGCAGACAGGGCCAGCCCGGAGUUGGGGAGUCCUGCUCUGGCCCCCACUCAGGGGCUGGGCGCGGCAGACUGAGGUUCUGGACCAAUCUGGCCCCGAGCGUCCGACGGAGGAAGAGGCUGGGGCCUCCACCCUGAAGUGCCUGAGGCUGCUGCACCUGGGGCCUCAGGCGGGGCAGGGGGGCAAUGGAGGGCCGGGCAGGUGCCUGCCAGCAGGGGUGCAGCUCCGAGGAAGGGAGCUGUGGACCCGGACUGCUGUCCUCUCCCCUCUCCCAGGCACCCCCAGGAGACCCGUGGCUGCCCCGUGGCCUGGUGGGCAUAGGCCUCCCCCGCCCUCCCUGAGGCUGGCCCAGCCAGACAGGGGUGACCCUGGGGGAGAAGGGCCGGGCCAGCAGCUGAGUCAGCUCCCGCCAGGUCAAGCAGAGAGCUGACCUCCCCACCCAGAGGCGGGAAAACGCCCGUCUCCAACCAGGGCCUGCCCAGCCCAGGCAAGGAGCCCGAGUGCCAUCAGCAGCCCCUGCAACGGUCCCAGGAGGCUGGACGCCAUGCCCCCCGCCCCCACCCGCCUGCAAGGCGCUCCUCUCUGGACUUGCGUUAGUUACAGCGCUGGCUGCUAUUUUAAAUCCCCGGCUUGUUUAGGAAGCCCCGGCAGAGAGGGCUGAGCAGGCUGAGCCCGAGGGGAUGCGGGCUAGGGGGCAGCCCCGGCUGGGGGUCUGGGGCCUGCUGCCAUUUGAACAGGGACCAAUUAAUCCCUGCGGGGGCGUGGGGCAUGUGGCUCGCCCUGUACAGAAGCUGUGUGUGUGUGUGUGUGUGUGUGUCGGGGGCGGGGUGGGGGGCGUUCAGUAGCCUGCAGCUGACCUCCCCAGCAAACGAGCCACAGAGUGGGCUCCUCGUGGGUGACCAGGCUCCGCCCCUCCCCCCCAGCAGGGACAGCUGCAGGCUGCCCCGGCCUCCCCUGGCCUCCCCUGGCCUCCCUGCCUAAAGCAGGGGCUGAGCCACUUGACCUUGGAGGGCUGGUCUACUCCAGGAUUUUACGGUUGGGGGCCUGGUUUUCCCAGCCACCGUGUCUCAGAGCGAGGACAGCCCAGAGGACGUGGAGUGGCCACAAAGGCUUGGCUGUUCUCCCAUGUGCCUCGCUGGGCUGGGGAGGAGAGAGGGGGGCUGCAGUGGGGGCACAGGCGGGGUGGGGGCGGGGCGGGAGGAGGCUGGAAGGAGCCAGGGAGCAGGGAGGACGUUUUGGGAAGACUUCCUGAGGAAAGGGGUGGGGAGAGACCCAGAGACACAGAGAGAGACACGGAAGCACAGAGAGACGUGGAGAGACAGAGACCGAGAGACACAUACUGAGAGAGGAACAGAAGGGAGAGAGACACCCAGAGACAGAGACAAAGAGAACGGGAGAAGGCGCACAGCGCGGCCACGGGAGAAGGCGCGAGAAGGCCGACAUGUGUGUGGUGAGGCUGAAGUUCAAAAAGGAGGGGAAGAGGUGGUUUGACGACCAAAGUCAUUGAAAAAUUUUUGGCUCAGCUGCCCCGAGGCUCCUGGCUGCGGGCCCGGCUCCGCGCUGAACUUAAACAAACCCCUGCAGCAGCCAUCUGCUUGGUUUUAAAAUAAAUCCAACAGUCUGCUGAGCCGGGUGAUCGAGUUUCCAUCUGUGCCUCCGCUCGCUCGCCGGCCUGGAGCCGCGCUUGCCUCUCCCAGCCAAGCCUCCUGGCAACAUGUGGGCCGGUAAUUCCUCCAGGAGCAGGGGAAACCGGACCCCCGCCCGCCCGGGCCUAACUGAAACCGAGUGCUAUUUUUACAGCCACCCACGGCAGAGGGAGGACCGAAGCGCGCUCUGAACACCCAGGCACGGGGCUGUGCUGAGCGGCUUCGGCCCACGGGGUCCCCCCCUCUGCCCUGAGAGAAAGGGCUGAGGGGCCGAGCAGGGGGUGCUGGGCCCCCAGGGACAGGAUGAUGCUCCCGCGUCUGGGCAGCUGCGGCUUCCUGGGGGUGGCGCCCGCCCGGGGCCCACCGGGAGCAGCCCAAAAUAGCAGCGGGGACUCCCCCCCCUUCCCUCAGGCUGGGGUCACCCUGGAAAGUGCUGCCCAUCUGUCCCUAAGUCCAGGAGACCAGGGGAGCCUGCCUUCCCCAGCCCAGGCCGGAAACAAAGAAGGAGAAACACCAGCCCAGCAGGGUUCAGUGACCCCAUCUGCGCAAUGGGCAUAAAGCAGCCCUCCUGGUGGUGUCGGGGGAGCAAAGAUGGGGGCCCACGAUCCUGGAGCUGCAGCUGGCACAUGGGGCCUUUAUACGCGAUUUUAGGAAACACAGAAAGGAGAGAAAGGACCACAGGAAAAGGGUCAGGGUCCCCCACCCUACUCUGAAGGACAGGAUCCGAGAUGGUGAACGGGGCCCUGGCUGCCAGCUAAGCAGGCUGGGGUCUCUGUCCCCAGCCAGAUGCCUCCAUUCCACAAUCAGACUGCCCUCUGAUCCUGCCAGAGGUUCCCUGGUGCCGGCAGGGAGGUGUGUGGGUGAGGAGGGACCCCAAUCUUACUCACUCCUCAACACAUGAACCAUGGCAGGCCAGGACGGGGAGUCCACAGGCCUAGACCCAGGGCCACCUCUCCCACAGUGUGUGGCUUUGGGCAAGUUGUGCUCCCUCUGAGCCUGGGAUCCCCCUGUCCCCUCCCCUCCAUCAAAACAGGGGGCGGCAGCGGAGUGGAUGGCUUGGGGACCACAGCCGUUCCGAGGGAUGGCCAGGCUUCUGCACCCGCAAGCUUCCCCUGGACUGCCUCGCCAAUGCUUCUCUCCUCAGCCCCCAAUGCAGCCCAGAAAUGAAGACAAGCGGGUUCCGACAGGCACAGCACGCCCUCCUUGUCAGGGACAGUGGCUGGGGGACUCAGGGCCAUCCUACGCCAGGGCGGCCUCCUCGGUACUCGACCGUGUCCGCAGAGGCCUUCUUCCCAAAUAAGGCCACGCUCACGGGUUCGGUGGACGUGAACCUCGGGGGACCCUU